ACCACCUGGAGGCAGGCGGGAGGAGGUGCCGAGGGGCUUCGCUUGGGCGGCCGCCGCGGGAAGUGGCGCGGACUCCGGCGCCAUCACGGCUCCAUUUUAUGUGUCGGCUUUAAACAGUCGAGUGGUCACACUGCGUGCCUCUCUCUGUGAGAUGGGUUGGUCUAGUGCUUUUCCUAAGGCCUGUUUCCCUGGAAUUUAGGCAUGAUGGGCCGCAUCGCCGUCUAGAGGGUAUGGUGGCGAGAAGCCCCAGUUCGGGGGGGCCCCCCCACACCUGGCCCUCGCAGCCACAGACAAUCCGAAUUCAAAAGCCAGGCGCUGUGGUUCGCUGUGUAGCCGAUUCCACUCCCGUCUCCUUUGUGGGGCUUUACUGUAAGGUGGCGACAGGGCAUGGCUAGCGGGGAAGCCCUGAAAUCUGAUGGCUGGGCCCAAAUGCAACUCGCUUACGGUGUGUUUGACCAAGGGCUCGGCCACCCUCCUUGAGAUCCCCAACCCAAAGAAGGGACCUCCUUCACCGUAUACACCUGUCAGGACCUGGAAUGGGCUGAGGUUGGAGUAAAAGACUGGAAACUCCGGAAGAACCUUCUGAAUAAAGCAAGUCAAAGAAGAGCAAAUAAUUUAUGGCAAAUUAAGCUAUUAUAAGCCAAGAAAUUUUGUUUCUGUGAUCAGUUAAGUUCAAUACAGACCACUGGAUGACUACAAGCCAGUCUUUCUGUUCCUAUUUGCCUACAGUGAAUUGACUGGGGUGGGGUGGGAGAGAGGAGAUAAUCCCUAUUUCUUAUCUGCUUUGGAUACAAGGUAAAAAUAAAAUAUAAAAUUUUCAGUGACUUAGGCAUUCAAUCUACUUUUAUUUACCAAGGCGGCUAACAUUCUAAAGUUAACCUGAAGCACACCAGCUACCAAGUGUGUCAAUUCAACCUUUUAAAAUCUAAUUUAAUCGUCUGCAAAACACAACUCCAAGGUUCCUACAGAACAAGCUUUAGCAAGCGAAUACUUUAACCAUUUGAUCCUUUCUAAAUAAUACUUUUCACACUGUAUCUGUAAUUUUUAGGGUUGGAAAUACAGACUGACCAGGCAGAGGCAAACUCUAGAAGAAAUUUCUAGCAGCUCCUAAGAAGAAUUCAUCUACUACAAAAUAAAGUUUUUCCUCUCUCAAUAUGAUUUUUUCUUUUUUAAGAUUUUUAUUUAUUUAUUUGACA